rnacentral:rRNA from 1 species
AGCACCACAACAGGUGGAGCCUGCGGUUUAAUCGGACUCAACGCCGGGAAACUCACCAGAUAAGACAGCUGAAUGAUAGUCGGGCUGAAGACUCUACUUGACUAGCUGAGAGGAGGUGCAUGGCCGUCGUCAGUUCGUACUGUGAAGCAUCCUGUUAAGUCAGGCAACGAGCGAGACCCACGCCAACAGUUGCCAGCUCGUCCUCCGGGAUGGAGGGGACACUGUUGGGACCGCCUCUGCUAAAGAGGAGGAAGGAAUGGGCAACGGUAGGUCAGCAUGCCCCGAAUUAUCUGGGCUACACGCGGGCUACAAUGGGUGGGACAAUGGGUAUCGACACCGAAAGGUGAAGGCAAUCUCCUAAACCCAUCCUUAGUUCGGAUUGUGGGCUGCAACUCGCCCACAUGAAGCUGGAAUCUGUAGUAAUCGUGUUUCAAAAUAGCACGGUGAAUAUGUCCCUGCUCCUU